GACGAACGCUGGCGGCGUGCUUAACACAUUCAAGUCGAACGGAAAGGCCCUGCUUUUGUGGGGUGCUCGAGUGGCGAACGGGUGAGUAACACGUGAGUAACCUGCCCUUGACUUUGGGAUAACUUCAGGAAACUGGGGCUAAUACCGGAUAGGAGCUCCUGCUGCAUGGUGGGGGUUGGAAAGUUUCGGCGGUUGGGGAUGGACUCGCGGCUUAUCAGCUUGUUGGUGGGGUAGUGGCUUACCAAGGCUUUGACGGGUAGCCGGCCUGAGAGGGUGACCGGCCACAUUGGGACUGAGAUACGGCCCAGACUCCUACGGGAGGCAGCAGUGGGGAAUAUUGCACAAUGGGCGGAAGCCUGAUGCAGCAACGCCGCGUGCGGGAUGACGGCCUUCGGGUUGUAAACCGCUUUGGCCUGUGACGAAGCGUGAGUGACGGUAAUGGGUAAAGAAGCACCGGCUAACUACGUG
rnacentral:rRNA from 1 species